rnacentral:rRNA from 1 species
GGGUCAGUAGGUUGGUCGUGCCACCGGUACGUACUGGUCUCACUGAUUCCUCCUUCCUGAAGAACCGUAAUGCCAUUAAUUUGGUGUUGCUGGGAAACAGGACUGUUACUUUGAAAAAACUAGAGUGUUUAAAGCAAGCUAACGCUUGAAUACAUUAGCAUGGAAUAAUGAAAUAGGACGAUCGAUCCUAUUUUGUUGGUUUCUAGGAUUGACGUA